rnacentral:rRNA from 2 species
AGAGUUUGAUCCUGGCUCAGAACGAACGCUGGCGGCAGGCUUAACACAUGCAAGUCGAACGCAUGUCUUCGGACAUGAGUGGCAGACGGGUGAGUAACGCGUGGGAACGUACCCUUCAGUUCGGAAUAACCCAGGGAAACUUGGGCUAAGACCGGAUACGUCCUGCCCCUUAAACGGGGUGGGAGAAAGAUUUAUCGCUGAAGGAUCGGCCCGCGUCGGAUUAGCUAGUUGGUGGGGUAACGGCCCACCAAGGCAACGAUCCGUAGCUGGUCUGAGAGGAUGAUCAGCCACACUGGGACUGAGACACGGCCCAGACUCCUACGGGAGGCAGCAGUGGGGAAUAUUGGACAAUGGGCGCAAGCCUGAUCCAGCCAUGCCGCGUGAGUGAAGAAGGCCCUAGGGUUGUAAAGCUCUUUCAGCGGGGACGAUAAUGACGGUACCCGCAGAAGAAGCCCCGGCUAACUUCGUGCCAGCAGCCGCGGUAAUACGAAGGGGGCUAGCGUUGUUCGGAAUUACUGGGCGUAAAGCGCGCGUAGGCGGAUAUUUAAGUCAGGGGUGAAAUCCCAGGGCUCAACCCUGGAACUGCCUUUGAUACUGGAUGUCUGGAGUUCGGGAGAGGUGAGUGGAAUUCCGAGUGUAGAGGUGAAAUUCGUAGAUAUUCGGAGGAACACCAGAAGCGAAGGCGGCUCACUGGCCCGAUACUGACGCUGAGGCGCGAAAGCGUGGGGAGCAAACAGGAUUAGAUACCCCCGUAGUCC